rnacentral:piRNA from 2 species
UGUGUCCUCACUUCACUACUUAACUAAAUUC